rnacentral:rRNA from 1 species
GUGGGGAAUAUUGGACAAUGGGCGAAAGCCUGAUCCAGCCAUGCCGCGUGUGUGAAGAAGGUCUUCGGAUUGUAAAGCACUUUAAGUUGGGAGGAAGGGCAGUAAGUUAAUACCUUGCUGUUUUGACGUUACCAACAGAAUAAGCACCGGCUAACUUCGUGCCAGCAGCCGCGGUAAUACGAAGGGUGCAAGCGUUAAUCGGAAUUACUGGGCGUAAAGCGCGCGUAGGUGGUUCAGCAAGUUGAAGGUGAAAUCCCCGGGCUCAACCUGGGAACUGCCUCCAAAACUACUGAGCUAGAGUACGGUAGAGGGUAGUGGAAUUUCCUGUGUAGCGGUGAAAUGCGUAGAUAUAGGAAGGAACACCAGUGGCGAAGGCGACUACCUGGACUGAUACUGACACUGAGGUGCGAAAGCAUGGGGAGCAAACAGGAUUAGAUACCCUUGUAGUCC